CUGUUUGUUGUUGGAGAAAGGAGAGAAAGGAAAGCGCGAGGAGCCGCCGCCACCACCAGCGCAGCAGUCCUGGAGCUGUGAGGAGAUUCGGGCCGUCACCCUGCCUCCCCUGCGUCCCGCCACCGGCCGCUUCCGUCCUCGGACCCAUUCCAACAAUCUCUUAAAACAUGGUGGAUUACUAUGAAGUUCUAGGCGUGCAGAGACAUGCCUCACCCGAGGAUAUUAAAAAGGCAUAUCGGAAACUGGCACUGAAGUGGCAUCCAGAUAAAAAUCCCGAGAAUAAAGAAGAAGCAGAGAGAAAAUUCAAGCAAGUAGCGGAGGCAUAUGAAGUGCUGUCGGAUGCUAAGAAACGGGACAUCUAUGACAAAUAUGGCAAAGAAGGAUUAAAUGGUGGAGGAGGAGGUGGAAGUCAUUUUGACAGUCCAUUUGAAUUUGGCUUCACAUUCCGUAACCCAGAUGAUGUCUUCAGGGAAUUUUUUGGUGGAAGGGACCCAUUUUCAUUUGACUUCUUUGGUGUUCUAGAUGACUUCCAUUUUCAGGCUCUCAGGAUUUGCACACUGGGGAGGCUGCUGCUCCAUGGCUACUAUAUGCAUGUAGUCACUGUGCAGCCUGCUGACAGGUUUGAGGAAGUGGCCAGUGAGGACUUGGAGCCUAGUGAGGAGUUAGUAGAGCUGCCCGGGGUGGAGGAGGCCACAGAGG
rnacentral:sRNA from 1 species